rnacentral:rRNA from 2 species
AGACCCGAAACCCGGUGAUCUAGCCAUGGGCAGGUUGAAGGUUGGGUAACACUAACUGGAGGACCGAACCGACUAAUGUUGAAAAAUUAGCGGAUGACCUGUGGCUGGGGGUGAAAGGCCAAUCAAACCGGGAGAUAGCUGGUUCUCCCCGAAAGCUAUUUAGGUAGCGCCUCGUGAAUUCAUCUCCGGGGGUAGAGCACUGUUUCGGCUAGGGGGCCAUCCCGGCUUACCAACCCGAUGCAAACUGCGAAUACCGGAGAAUGUUAUCACGGGAGACACACGGCGGGUGCUAACGUCCGUCGUGAAGAGGGAAACAACCCAGACCGCCAGCUAAGGUCCCAAAGUCAUGGUUAAGUGGGAAACGAUGUGGGAAGGCCCAGACAGCCAGGAUGUUGGCUUAGAAGCAGCCAUCAUUUAAAGAAAGCGUAAUAGCUCACUGGUCGAGUCGGCCUGCGCGGAAGAUGUAACGGGGCUAAACCAUGCACCGAAGCUGCGGCAGCGACGCUGAUGCGUUGUUGGGUAGGGGAGCGUUCUGUAAGCCUGCG